UACGGAGGGGGCUAGCGUUGUUCGGAAUUACUGGGCGUAAAGCGCACGUAGGCGGACCGGAAAGUCAGAGGUGAAAUCCCAGGGCUCAACCUUGGAACUGCCUUUGAAACUCCUGGUCUUGAGGUCGAGAGAGGUGAGUGGAAUUCCGAGUGUAGAGGUGAAAUGCGCAGAUAUCAGGAGGAACACCAGCGGCGAAGGCGGCGCUCUGGGCCGGUACUGACACUGAGGAGCGAAAGCGUGGGGAGCAAACAGG
rnacentral:rRNA from 1 species